CUUCGACACUCCCUGACAACCCAAGGAGAGUUGGGCCGUUCCCCUUCGGGGGACAGGGUGACAGGUGGUGCAUGGUUGUCGUCAGCUCGUGUCGUGAGAUGUUGGGUUAAGUCCCGCAACGAGCGCAACCCUCGCCUCUAGUUGCCAGCAUUCGGUUGGGCACUCUAGAGGGACUGCCGGCGACAAGUCGGAGGAAGGUGGGGAUGACGUCAAAUCAUCAUGCCCCUUAUGACCUGGGCUACACACGUGCUACAAUGGGCGGUACAACGGGAAGCAAUACCGCGAGGUGGAGCAAAUCCUGAAAGCCGGCCUCAGUUCAGAUUGCAGUCUGCAACUCGACUGCAUGAAGUCGGAAUCGCUAGUAAUCGCGGAUCAGCAUGCCGCGGUGAAUACGUUCCCGGGCCUU
rnacentral:rRNA from 1 species